rnacentral:lncRNA from 1 species
UCGCGUCAAAUAUGGAUUUUUGGCAAAGUUGUGUAUUUUCACGCAAUUAUCCCUAAAAAAUAGUAUAAUUUUAGCUGAAUAUAAAAAAAUAAAAAAUUACCAUAAUACAAAUUGAUAUUACGAAAAUGUAAAAAAAAAGGUUAAAAGAGUAACAAUAAAAAAGAAUUAAAAAAUAAAUUUAUUAUAAAAAAAAAGAGGAGAGAGAAGAGAUAAUUUUAUUAAGUUUUAAUUUUUAAAUAAAUACUCCCUCCGUCCACGAAAGAACUUCCUAUCUUUCCUUUUUGAGAUGUCCACAAAACUACUUUAUCACUUUAUUACCUUCUGUUUCUCACUUUAUCAUUUUCUCUCUCC